rnacentral:rRNA from 1 species
UCGUAACAAGGUCUCCGUUGGUGAACCAGCGGAGGGAUCAUUACUGAGUUUACGCUCUAUAACCCUUUGUGAACAUACCUAUAACUGUUGCUUCGGCGGGUAGGGUCUCCGCGACCCUCCCGGCCUCCCGCCUCCGGGCGGGUCGGCGCCCGCCGGAGGAUAACCAAACUCUGAUUUAACGACGUUUCUUCUGAGUGGUACAAGCAAAUAAUCAAAACUUUUAACAACGGAUCUCUUGGUUCUGGCAUCGAUGAAGAACGCAGCGAAAUGCGAUAAGUAAUGUGAAUUGCAGAAUUCAGUGAAUCAUCGAAUCUUUGAACGCACAUUGCGCCCGCCAGCAUUCUGGCGGGCAUGCCUGUUCGAGCGUCAUUUCAACCCUCAAGCUCUGCUUGGUGUUGGGGCCCUACAGCUGAUGUAGGCCCUCAAAGGUAGUGGCGGACCCUCCCGGAGCCUCCUUUGCGUAGUAACUUUACGUCUCGCACUGGGAUCCGGAGGGACUCUUGCCGUAAAACCCCCCAAUUUUCCAAAGGUGA